AGCAGAGUUGUGCAGUGGAAGCGUGCUGGGCCCUUAACCCAGAGGUCCUUGGAAUGAAACCACGAUCUGCUA
rnacentral:tRNA from 1 species